rnacentral:rRNA from 1 species
UACGUAGGGGGCAAGCGUUGUCCGGAUUUACUGGGUGUAAAGGGCGCGUAGGCGGAUUUGUAAGUCAGAGGUGAAAUCCUACAGCUUAACUGUAGAACUGCCUUUGAUACUGCUUAUCUUGAGUGCAGAAGAGAGAGAUAGAAUUCCAGGUGUAGUGGUGAAAUACGUAGAUAUCUGGAAGAACACCAGUUGCGAAGGCGAUCUCUUGGUCUGUAACUGACGCUGAGGCGCGAAAGCGUGGGGAGCAAACAGG